AUUGAACGCUGGCGGCAUGCCUUACACAUGCAAGUCGGACGGCAGCGCGGACUUCGGUCUGGCGGCGAGUGGCGAACGGGUGAGUAAUACAUCGGAACGUACCCUGUUGUGGGGGAUAACUAGUCGAAAGAUUAGCUAAUACCGCAUACGACCUGAGGUUGAAAGUGGGGACCGCAAGGCCUCACGCAGCAGGAGCGGCCGAUGUCUGAUUAGCUAGUUGGUGGGGUAAAGGCCCACCAAGGCGACGAUCAGUAGCUGGUCUGAGAGGACGAUCAGCCACACUGGGACUGAGACACGGCCCAGACUCCUACGGGAGGCAGCAGUGGGGAAUUUUGGACAAUGGGGGCAACCCUGAUCCAGCAAUGCCGCGUGUGUGAAGAAGGCCUUCGGGUUGUAAAGCACUUUUGUCCGGAAAGAAAUCGCGCUGGUUAAUACCUGGCGUGGAUGACGGUACCGGAAGAAUAAGCACCGGCUAACUACGUGCCAGCAGCCGCGGUAA
rnacentral:rRNA from 1 species